UACAGAGGAGCCAAGCGUUGUCCGGAUUGACUGGGCGUAAAGCGCACGCAGGCGGACGCGCGCGUGGGGUGUGAAAUCUGACCGCUUAACGGCCAGGCGCCAUCCCAUACGGCGCGUCUGGAGUGAUGCAGAGGUCGAUGGAAUUGCCGGUGUAGUGGUGAAAUGCGUAGAGAUCGGCAGGAACACCCAGGGGGAAACCAGUCGACUGGGCAUCUACUGACGCUGAGGUGCGAGAGCGUGGGGAGCGAACCGG
rnacentral:rRNA from 1 species